UCGAGAAUAUUUAGCAAUGGACGAAAGUCUGACUAUGCGACGCCGCGUGAGGGAUGAAGGUUUUCGGAUCGUAAACCUCUUUCGAUAGGGAAGAAGCCCCCGCAAGGGGGUUGACGGUACCUAGAGAAGAAGCCACGGCUAACUCCGUGCCAGCAGCCGCGGUAAUACGGAGGUGGCUAGCGUUACUCGGAUUCAUUGGGUGUAAAGGACAGGUAGGCGGCUAUGCAAGUUGGUGGUGAAAUCCUGCGGCUCAACCGCAGAACUGCCUCCAAAACUGCAUGGCUUGAGGCUGGUAGAGGAAAGCGGAAUUCCCGGUGUAAGGGUGAAAUCUGUAGAUAUCGGGAGGAACACCAGUGGCGAAAGCGGCUUUCUGGACCAGUCCUGACGCUAAGCUGUGAAA
rnacentral:rRNA from 1 species